ACGGGUGAGUAACGCGUGGGAAUCUACCGUACCCUACGGAAUAGCUCUGGGAAACUGGAAGUAAUACCGUAUACGCCCUAACGGGGAAAGAUUUAUCGGGGUAUGAUGAGCCCGCGUUGGAUUAGCUAGUUGGUGGGGUAAAGGCCUACCAAGGCGACGAUCCAUAGCUGGUCUGAGAGGAUGAUCAGCCACAUUGGGACUGAGACACGGCCCAAACUCCUACGGGAGGCAGCAGUGGGGAAUAUUGGACAAUGGGCGAAAGCCUGAUCCAGCCAUGCCGCGUGAGUGAUGAAGGUCUUAGGAUUGUAAAGCUCUUUCAACGGUGAAGAUAAUGACGGUAACCGUAGAAGAAGCCCCGGCUAACUUCGUGCCAGCAGCCGCGGUAAUACGAAGGGGGCUAGCGUUGUUCGGAAUUACUGGGCGUAAAGCGCACGUAGGCGGGUAUUUAAGUCAGGGGUGAAAUCCCGCAGCUCAACUGCGGAACUGCCUUUGAUACUGGGUAUCUUGAGUAUGGAAGAGGUAAGUGGAAUUGCGAGU
rnacentral:rRNA from 1 species